AUUGAACGCUGGCGGCAUGCCUUACACAUGCAAGUCGAACGGUAACAGGUUAAGCUGACGAGUGGCGAACGGGUGAGUAAUGUAUCGGAACGUUCCCAGUCGUGGGGGAUAACUGCUCGAAAGAGCAGCUAAUACCGCAUACGACCUGAGGGUGAAAGCGGGGGUUCGCAAGACCUCGCGCGAUUGGAGCGGCCGAUAUCAGAUUAGGUAGUUGGUGAGGUAAAGGCUCACCAAGCCGACGAUCUGUAGCUGGUCUGAGAGGACGACCAGCCACACUGGGACUGAGACACGGCCCAGACUCCUACGGGAGGCAGCAGUGGGGAAUUUUGGACGAUGGGCGCAAGCCUGAUCCAGCGAUGCCGCGUGAGGGAAGAAGGCCUUCGGGUUGUAGACCGCUUUUGUCAGGGAAGAAAAGGUUCUGGCUAAUACCUGAGACUCAUGACGGUACCUGAAGAAUAAGCACCGGCUAACUACGUG
rnacentral:rRNA from 1 species